AAGUCGUAACAAGGUUUCCGUAGGUGAACCUGCGGAAGGAUCAUUAACACGUAUCCAACGUUAAACCCCCCGUGCACACAGCGACCUGCUCCCCUCAAUUUCGGUCUUUUGGCAAUCCCUGGUAAAUCAUCGCCGAACAGUUUUGAUUCAGGGACAUCCAAAGGGCCGGGGUAGGGUAUUAAAGUAGUAGUCAAUGCAAAGCAACCUGGUUUCUUUGAAGCAGAAAGUGUGAAGAACGGACCGAGCUGUGGAAAGGAAGACGCUUUACGAAUCACUGUCCAACACGGUCAGUGACCGGGUUCCUGGUCCUACAUAUUCACCACAGUCGCAGACGAGGGGAUACGUCCCUACCACCAAAUAAAUACUUGAACAACUGUGACAAAAUGGAUCUCUUGGCUCUC
rnacentral:misc_RNA from 1 species